AGCGGACGCUGGCGGCAGGCCUAACACAUGCAAGUCGAGCGGCCGUAGCAAUACGGCAGCGGCAGACGGGAUAGUAACACGUGGGAACGCGCCCUUCGGUUCGGAAUAACUCAGGGAAACUUGAGCUAAUACCGGAUACGCCCUUACGGGGAAAGGAUUUAUUGCCGAAGGAACGGCCCGCGUCGGAUUAGCUAGUUGGUGAGGUAAUGGCUCACCAAGGCGACGAUCCGUAGCUGGUCUGAGAGGAUGACCAGCAUCACUGGGACUGAGACACGGCCC
rnacentral:rRNA from 1 species